UACAGAGGUCCCAAGCGUUGUUCGGAUUCAUUGGGCGUAAAGGGUGCGUAGGCGGCGCGGUAAGUCGGGUGUGAAAUCUCGGAGCUUAACUCCGAAACUGCAUUCGAUACUGCCGUGCUUGAGGACUGGAGAGGAGACUGGAUUUACGGUGUAGCGGUGAAAUGCGUAGAUAUCGUAAGGAAGACCAGUGGCGGAAGGCGGGUCUC
rnacentral:rRNA from 1 species